rnacentral:rRNA from 1 species
UUAACACAUGCAAGUCGAGGGGCAGCAUGGUCUUAGCUUGCUAAGACUGAUGGCGACCGGCGCACGGGUGAGUAACACGUAUCCAACCUGCCGUCUACUCUUGGACAGCCUUCUGAAAGGAAGAUUAAUACAAGAUGGCAUCAUGAGUCCACAUGUUCACAUGAUUAAAGGUAUUCCGGUAGACGAUGGGGAUGCGUUCCAUUAGAUAGUAGGCGGGGUAACGGCCCACCUAGUCUUCGAUGGAUAGGGGUUCUGAGAGGAAGGUCCCCCACAUUGGAACUGAGACACGGUCCAAACUCCUACGGGAGGCAGCAGUGAGGAAUAUUGGUCAAUGGGCGAGAGCCUGAACCAGCCAAGUAGCGUGAAGGAUGACUGCCCUAUGGGUUGUAAACUUCUUUUAUAAAGGAAUAAAGUCGGGUAUGCAUACCCGUUUGCAUGUACUUUAUGAAUAAGGAUCGGCUAACUCCGUGCCAGCAGCCGCGGUAAUACGGAGGAUCCGAGCGUUAUCCGGAUUUAUUGGGUUUAAAGGGAGCGUAGAUGGAUGUUUAAGUCAGUUGUGAAAGUUUGCGGCUCAACCGUAAAAUUGCAGUUGAUACUGGAUAUCUUGAGUGCAGUUGAGGCAGGCGGAAUUCGUGGUGUAGCGGUGAAAUGCUUAGAUAUCACGAAGAACUCCGAUUGCGAAGGCAGCCUGCUAAGCUGCA